AACAGACCAUAGAGGAGGAAACAGACCAUAGAGGAGGAAACAGACCUUAGAGGAGGAAACAGGACCAUAGAGGAGGAAACAUGACCAUAGAGGAGGAAACAGACCAUAGAUGAGGAAACAGACCAUAUAGGAGAAAACAGACCAUAGAGGAGGAAACAGGGCCAUAGAGGAGGAAACAGACCAUAGAGGAGGAAACAGACCAUAGAGGAGGAAACAGGACCAUAGAGGAGGAAACAGACCAUAGAGGAGGAAACAGACCAUAGAGGAGGAAACAGGACCAUAGAGGAGGAAACAGACCAUAGAGGAGGAAACAGACCAUAGAGGAGGAAACAGACCAUAGAGGAGGAAACAGGACCAUAGAGGAGGAAACAGACCAUAGAGGAGGAAACAGACCAUAGAGGAGGAAACAGGGACAUAGAGGAGGAAACAGACCAUAGAGGAGGAAACAGACCAUAGAGGAGGAAACAGACCAUAGAGGAGGAAACAGGACCAUAGAGGAGGAAACAGACCAUAGAGGAGGAAACAGACCAUAGAGGAGGAAACAGACCAUAGAGGAGGAAACAGGACCAUAGAGGAGGAAACAGACCAUAGAGGAGGAAACAGACCAUAGAGGAGGAAACAGGACCAUAGAGGAGGAAACAGACCAUAGAGGAGGAAACAGGACCAUAGAGGAGGAAACAGGACCAUAGAGGAGGUAACAGGACCAUAGAGGAGGAAACAGGCCAUAGAGGAGGAAACAGACCAUAGAGGAGGAAACAGGACCAUAGAGGAGGAAACAGACCAUAGAGGAGGAAACAGACCAUAGAGGAGGAAACAGGACCAUAGAGGAGGAAACAGACCAUAGAGGAGGAAACAGACCAUAGAGGAGGAAACAGGACCAUAGAGGAGGAAACAGGACACAGACUCUUAAUUGUUUAUUUAUCUAUCAUUCAUUUGUACACACAUGGUAUGUAUACUCCAGUACGGUAUACAUCCAUUACCUGUGUGUCGCAUGUUUUUGCAUUUCAUGUUGAUUUUGGGGACCUUUCAAUAGCCUUUGUGUGUCUUUUUCACUUGGAUGGUGACACUUAUUGUUAUGUCAGUGUGUACAAACCAAACAGAUGUUUUUACGCUCUGUUUCCCAUCAUCACUGUGUUUGAACCACUUCUAUAUCAUCAAGGUGCCCCCAUGCAUUUCAUCCCAAGCCCUUAGUGAGAAUCUGAGCUGCCCUGUUUUGGGUGUGUGGUCUGGUUGGUGAGUAUUACUCGUUGGGGUUAGGGUUGGGCUAUGCCUGCUGCCUGCUUUAGCGGCAGCUAAUGGGGAUCCUAAUAAAAUAAAACAUUUAAAAAUACUCACUCUACUGCUCAUUGAGUGUGGCUCCCUCUUGUGGUCACUUUGAGUGUGCUGCUGUUUAUAGCUUUUUCCACUUCUCAAGGUAUGCUAACUUGAACCCACUCAACUGCUAUGGCAAAUACACAUGUCAAGUACUUUUAAAUACUUGAUCUGUGUUGAUUUAGUUUGUCUGCUGUACAAUGGAACCAAUGGAAUAGUCCCAAAAGUACAAACUCCAAGCUAAAUCAACCACAACUCAAGUAUUAGAAUGUAUUUGCCUUGAUGUAUUUGAGCCAGGUGUGGCAGGUUCCAGUCGUGAGGUUGUAUCCAGACGUGGUACCCACAUAAUGUGGUGCCCCAGGUGUUUUAACGGCCCACUUCCUUCCUGUUUCAGGCCUCCUCUCCUCCCGCCUCAGGCCUGAUUGUAAGAGCAACAGUUUACAUUACGACACUCCCUCAUCCCUUUGACCACAGGGGGUUACCUUUCACAAUCAGCCUCCCAAUACAAAUGGUGUUGUAAAAAUCUUUGAUUCGUGCAAACAACUGAACAAAAUCAAGACUUUAUAAAUGAACUGUUUGGGUAACCCCCUUAGUGGUUCUAUGCCGUCUGAGACACCUAACUUAAUAUUCACUCAAUCCUUGGGCUUGUUGUGCCUGCUGGUUAACACACCUAACACAAUGGACACUGAUGUAGCACUAAUGCUAUAAUGCUAAUAUUGUGUGUUUUGGGGAUGUAAUGAAGCACUAAUAACCCAACAGCCACUUCUUAACACUGUGACACAGACCUGUGUUUGUGACUGUCACCCUAGUGCCUUGUUGUGCCAGGAGACUGUCACCGAACGGAACUCAGUCACAUGUUGUGGUCUGGUUGAGUCACAAAGAUACACACUGACACAAUCGAUUAACUUUGAGUUCUCACACAACACACUUUCUCAUUGCAUUUUAUUAUUCAUACAUCAUAUCUGUGCAAAAAUUGGUUUGGUUAUGUAUAGUAGCCUAGCAAGCCAGGUUUGGUUAUGUAUAGUAGCCUAGCAAGCCAGGUUUGGUUAUGUAUAGUAGCCUAGCAAGCCAGGUUUGGUUACAUAUAGUAGCUUAGCAAGCCAGGUUUGGUUAUGUAUAGUAGCCUAGCAAGCCAGGUUUGGUUAUGUAUAGUAGCCUAGCAAGCCAGGUUUGGUUACAUAUAGUAGCUUAGCAAGCCAGGUUUGGUUAUGUAUAGUAGCCUAGCAAGCCAGGUUUGGUUAUGUAUAGUAGCCUAGCAAGCCAGGUUUGGUUAUGUAUAGUAGCCUAGCAAGCCAGGUUUGGUUACAUAUAGUAGCCUAGCAAGCCAUGUUUGGUUAUGUAUAGUAGCCUAGCAAGCCAGGUUUGGUUAUGUAUAGUAGCCUAGCAAGCCAGGUUUGGUUACAUAUAGUAGCUUAGCAAGGCAGGUUUGGUUAUGUAUAGUAGCCUAGCAAGCCAGGUUUGGUUAUGUAUAGUAGCCUAGCAAGCCAGGUUUGGUUAUGUAUAGUAGCCUAGCAAGCCAGGUUUGGUUACAUAUAGUAGCUUAGCAAGCCAGGUUUGGUUAUGUAUAAUAGCCUAGCAAGCCAGGUUUGGUUAUGUAUAGUAGCCUAGCAAGCCAGGUUUGGUUAUGUAUAGUAGCCUAGCAAGCCAGGUUUGGUUACAUAUAGUAGCCUAGCAAGCCAGGUUUGGUUAUGUAUAGUAGCCUAGCAAGCCAGGUUUGACAGAAUGUGUAAUCAGUGGAGGAUGGGUACAGUAGGUUUAGCUUCUGUGUUGACCUGACAACUGUUCAGUGCCUUUAAACCUGUCAGAAUUUUCUUCCUGACAAUCACAACACCCGCCACCACUAUGGCCCCAUCU